UACGUAGGGUGCGAGCGUUGUCCGGAAUUAUUGGGCGUAAAGCGCACGUAGGCGGCAUUGCAAGUCGGAUGUGAAAUCCCUCGGCUUAACCAAGGAAGUGCAUCCGAAACUGCAGUGCUUGAGUACUUAAGAGGAUCGCGGAAUUCCCGGUGUAGAGGUGAAAUUCGUAGAUAUCGGGAGGAACACCGGUGGCGAAGGCGGCGAUCUGGGAAGAUACUGACGCUGAGGUGCGAAAGCGUGGGGAGCAAACAGG
rnacentral:rRNA from 1 species